UGAGGGCUAGUUCAAUUGGCAGAACGUCCGGCUCUGACCCGGAAGGUUGGUGGUUCGAGCCCACCGCCCUCAG
rnacentral:tRNA from 2 species